rnacentral:rRNA from 1 species
GGUGAACGCUGGCGGUAGGCCUAACACAUGCAAGUCGAACGGCAGCACAGUAAGAUCUUGCUCUUACGGGUGGCGAGUGGCGGACGGGUGAGGAAUACAUCGGAAUCUACUUUUUCGUGGGGGAUAACGUAGGGAAACUUACGCUAAUACCGCAUACGACCUACGGGUGAAAGCAGGGGAUCUUCGGACCUUUCGCGAUUGAAUGAGCCGAUGUCGGAUUAGCUAGUUGGCGGGGUAAAGGCCCACCAAGGCGACGAUCCGUAGCUGGUCUGAGAGGAUGAUCAGCCACACUGGAACUGAGACACGGUCCAGACUCCUACGGGAGGCAGCAGUGGGGAAUAUUCGGCAAUGGGCGCAAGCCUGAUGCAGCCAUACCGCGUGAGUGAAGAAGGCCUUCGGGUCGUAAAGCCCUUUUGUUGGGAAAGAAAAGCAGCAGGUGAAACCACCGCUGUUCUGACGGUACCCAAAGAAAAAGCACCGGCUAACUUCGUG